rfam:Epulopiscium sp. Nuni2H_MBin001 Nuni2HMBin001_63, whole genome shotgun sequence.
GCUGUUAUAGCACAGAUGGUAGUGCACUACAUUGGUAGUGUAGAGGUCACGGGUUCGAUUCCCGUUAACAGCU